UUUCUAUUUGCAUGUAAUAUUUUGUUCCAUCCCUUUACUUUUAGUUUGUAUGUAUUUUCGAUCUGAGAUGGAUCUCUUAUAGGCAGCAUAUAUACGGGUCUUAUUUUCUUAUCCAUUCCACUAUCCUAUGUUUUGUGGAUUGAGCAU